rnacentral:lncRNA from 1 species
AGCUAACAUUCUUUUGUUCCCACAGUUCUCUAGGGUAGAUGUGCUUCUUUGGUCCAAGGUGGUUCUGUCCUCUAGAAAGCGAGUUCUGAGUUCUGCAAUGCAGCCAACUGAGCAGUACUGUUUCUGGAGAAAAGGUUGGGAUCACAGCUCCAUAGGCCACCCCUCAGAUGGACUUGUCUCAGCAAGGCAAACUUUACUACUGCUGAGGGCUUGCUACACAAAAAGAGUGAGCAACGUGCUAGAGUUUACUCAAAUUCACCCCCAUGGAUCUCCAGCCUCUUACAGUGUGGGGCAGAGAAAGUAGUGACCCGUUGGGGAAGAAUGGUCGGAUAGCUGACCAGGUACAUGAACAGAUGACCUGGCCUCACAGGAUACUGAAGGAAAAACCCCUGCUUCAGUACUUUUUUAAAUACCCAGACAUAUGACCAUCCCCAAAAGAGUUUAAAACACACAGCAUAACUGCCAUGGCUGACGCUUUUCUCACAGACCACAAUGGAUGACUUUUAACCCCCAAACAGAAAGGCUAUGGAAUAGCAAAACCAAGCUCUGAAUAAAGGGUUAUCCACAUACCUUAAUAACAUUAGAGAG